rnacentral:ncRNA from 1 species
GAGAGCCGUAUGAUGGGAAACUAUCACGUACGGUUCGGUGACGACGUCUGAUAAUUCUAAUUUUUUUUGUUAGUAACCAGCCGUUAGUUCAAC